rnacentral:rRNA from 1 species
UGGGGAAUUUUGCACAAUGGGGGCAACCCUGAUGCAGCGACGCCGCGUGAUUUAGAAGGCCUUCGGGUUGUAAAAAUCUUUUGUAUAGGAAGAAAAUGACAGUACUAUACGAAUAAGGUCCGGCUAAUUACGUGCCAGCAGCCGCGGUAAUACGUAAGGACCGAGCGUUGUCCGGAAUCAUUGGGCGUAAAGGGUACGUAGGCGGUUAGAAAAGUUAGAAGUGAAAGGCUAUAGCUCAACUAUAGUAAGCUUUUAAAACUGUUUAACUUGAGAGAUGGAAGGGAAAGUGGAAUUCCUAGUGUAGCGGUGAAAUGCGCAGAUAUUAGGAGGAAUACCGGUGGCGAAGGCGACUUUCUGGCCAUUAUCUGACGCUGAGGUACGAAAGCGUGGGUAGCAAACA